UACGGAGGGGGGCUAGCGUUGUUCGGAAUUACUGGGCGUAAAGCGCACGUAGGCGGCGAUCUAAGUCAGAGGUGAAAGCCCGGGGCUCAACCCCGGAACUGCCUUUGAGACUGGAUUGCUAGAAUCACGGAGAGGUGGGUGGAAUUCCGAGUGUAGAGGUGAAAUUCGUAGAUAUUCGGAAGAACACCAGUGGCGAAGGCGGCCCACUGGACGUGUAUUGACGCUGAGGUGCGAAAGCGUGGGGAGCAAACAGG
rnacentral:rRNA from 1 species